rnacentral:rRNA from 1 species
AGCCCAGAGCCUGAAUCAGUGUGUGUGUUAGUGGAAGCGUCUGGAAAGGCGCGCGAUACAGGGUGACAGCCCCGUACACAAAAAUGCACAUGCUGUGAGCUCGAUGAGUAGGGCGGGACACGUGGUAUCCUGUCUGAAUAUGGGGGGACCAUCCUCCAAGGCUAAAUACUCCUGACUGACCGAUAGUGAACCAGUACCGUGAGGGAAAGGCGAAAAGAACCCCGGCGAGGGGAGUGAAAAAGAACCUGAAACCGUGUACGUACAAGCAGUGGGAGCACGCUUAGGCGUGUGACUGCGUACCUUUUGUAUAAUGGGUCAGCGACUUAUAUUCUGUAGCAAGGUUAACCGAAUAGGGGAGCCGAAGGGAAACCGAGUCUUAACUGGGCGUUAAGUUGCAGGGUAUAGACCCGAAACCCGGUGAUCUAGCCAUGGGCAGGUUGAAGGUUGGGUAACACUAACUGGAGGACCGAACCGACUAAUGUUGAAAAAUUAGCGGAUGACUUGUGGCUGGGGGUGAAAGGCCAAUCAAACCGGGAGAUAGCUGGUUCUCCCCGAAAGCUAUUUAGGUAGCGCCUCGUGAAUUCAUCUCCGGGGGUAGAGCACUGUUUCGGCAAGGGGGUCAUCCCGACUUACCAACCCGAUGCAAACUGCGAAUACCGGAGAAUGUUAUCACGGGAGACACACGGCGGGUGCUAACGUCCGUCGUGAAGAGGGAAACAACCCAGACCGCCAGCUAAGGUCCCAAAGUCAUGGUUAAGUGGGAAACGAUGUGGGAAGGCCCAGACAGCCAGGAUGUUGGCUUAGAAGCAGCCAUCAUUUAAAGAAAGCGUAAUAGCUCACUGGUCGAGUCGGCCUGCGCGGAAGAUGUAACGGGGCUAAACCAUGCACCGAAGCUGCGGCAGCGACGCUUAUGCGUUGUUGGGUAGGGGAGCGUUCUGUAAGCCUGUGAAGGUGUGCUGUGAGGCAUGCUGGAGGUAUCAGAAGUGCGAAUGCUGACAUAAGUAACGAUAAAGCGGGUGAAAAGCCCGCUCGCCGGAAGACCAAGGGUUCCUGUCCAACGUUAAUCGGGGCAGGGUGAGUCGACCCCUAAGGCGAGGCCGAAAGGCGUAGUCGAUGGGAAACAGGUUAAUAUUCCUGUACUUGGUGUUACUGCGAAGGGGGGACGGAGAAGGCUAUGUUGGCCGGGCGACGGUUGUCCCGGUUUAAGCGUGUAGGCUGGUUUUCCAGGCAAAUCCGGAAAACUAAGGCUGAGGCGUGAUGACGAGGCACUACGGUGCUGAAGCAACAAAUGCCCUGCUUCCAGGAAAAGCCUCUAAGCAUCAGGUAACAUCAAAUCGUACCCCAAACCGACACAGGUGGUCAGGUAGAGAAUACCAAGGCGCUUGAGAGAACUCGGGUGAAGGAACUAGGCAAAAUGGUGCCGUAACUUCGGGAGAAGGCACGCUGAUAUGUAGGUGAAGUCCCUCGCGGAUGGAGCUGAAAUCAGUCGAAGAUACCAGCUGGCUGCAACUGUUUAUUAAAAACACAGCACUGUGCAAACACGAAAGUGGACGUAUACGGUGUGACGCCUGCCCGGUGCCGGAAGGUUAAUUGAUGGGGUCAGCGCAAGCGAAGCUCUUGAUCGAAGCCCCGGUAAACGGCGGCCGUAACUAUAACGGUCCUAAGGUAGCGAAAUUCCUUGUCGGGUAAGUUCCGACCUGCACGAAUGGCGUAAUGAUGGCCAGGCUGUCUCCACCCGAGACUCAGUGAAAUUGAACUCGCUGUGAAGAUGCAGUGUACCCGCGGCAAGACGGAAAGACCCCGUGAACCUUUACUAUAGCUUGACACUGAACAUUGAGCCUUGAUGUGUAGGAUAGGUGGGAGGCUU